UAUUCUGAUUUGCUUUUGGGGAGGUUAGAUGACACUGUGUCAAACCCCAAGUGUUAUCCCACAGUUUCCACUGCAUAUUCCUGUCACUUUCCAGGUCAUGAAAUGUCUGGUAUUUUGGGGAAACAGGAGUAGUGCAAGACCACCCAACUGACUAUAACUGCACAACCUGAAUUUUUAGCCUGGUCUCCACACUGCAACAGCAGAGAAGAUAUAGAAGACCCACCCAAUCUGUAAGAAGAGGAAACGGGCACUUACCAUAAGCUUUGUCAAACAACCAAGUUUCCAAUGGAUUUUUACCACCUCCAAAGUACUGUGCUGGCUCCAAAUUGAAUUCUUCUUGGAAACCCAGAGAUUAAGAUGAAUCCAAAAUACAUCCAUGGACAAAUUUAUGGUGGAACUGAACUGUUUUAUUUCACAUUUGAACCAGGCGAACCACAGCAGCUCCUGGGGGAGAAAAAUGAAGGUGGAAUAUACACCAUUGCAAGAAAGACAGGAGGUAUGUUGCAAACUAUGAUAGGUGUGUGUGUGUGUGUGUGUGUGUGUGUGUGUGU